GACGAACGCUGGCGGCGUGCUUAACACAUGCAAGUCGAGCGGUAAGGCCCUUUCGGGGGUACACGAGCGGCGAACGGGUGAGUAACACGUGGGUGACCUGCCCUUAGCUCUGGGAUAAGCCUGGGAAACUGGGUCUAAUACCGGAUAUGACUCCAUGACGCAUGUUGUGGGGUGGAAAGCCUUGUGCGGCUAGGGAUGGGCCCGCGGCCUAUCAGCUUGUUGGUGGGGUGAUGGCCACCAAGGCGACGACGGGUAACCGGCCUGAGAGGGCGACC
rnacentral:rRNA from 1 species